rnacentral:piRNA from 1 species
UCAGGAUGGCAGCAACAGGGCAUGUGCUA